rnacentral:sRNA from 1 species
GAACUUGUGCCGCGGGAAGGCGAGAAAUAUAUCA